rnacentral:rRNA from 1 species
CCUACGGGUGGCAGCAGUGGGGAAUAUUGGGCAAUGGGCGCAAGCCUGACCCAGCAACGCCGCGUGAAGGAAGAAGGCUUUCGGGUUGUAAACUUCUUUUGUCAGGGACGAAGCAAGUGACGGUACCUGACGAAUAAGCCACGGCUAACUACGUGCCAGCAGCCGCGGGAAUACGUAGGUGGCAAGCGUUAUCCGGAUUUACUGGGUGUAAAGGGCGUGUAGGCGGGGAAGCAAGUCAGAUGUGAAAACCACGGGCUCAACCUGUGGCCUGCAGUUGAAACUGUUUUUCUUGAGUGCUGGAGAGGCAAUCGGAAUGCCGUGUGUAGCGGUGAAAUGCGUAGAUAUUAGGAGGAACACCAGUGGCGAAGGCGGCCUACUGGACGGUGACUGACGCUGAGGCUCGAAAGCGUGGGGAGCAAACAGGAUUAGAUACCCGGGUAGUC